CCUACGGGGGGCUGCAGUAACGAAUCUUCCGCAAUGCACGAAAGUGUGACGGAGCGACGCCGCGUGUAGGACGAAGCCCUUCGGGGUGUAAACUACUGUCAGGGGUUAGAAAGUUCUGAUCAACCCCAGAGGAAGAGACGGCUAACUCUGUGCCAGCAGCCGCGGUAAGACAGAGGUCUCGAGCGUUAGGCGGAAUCACUGGGCUUAAAGCGUGUGUAGGCGGAUUUGUAAGUACCUUGUGAAAUCCCACGGCUUAACCGUGGAACUGCUUGGUAUACUGCGAAUCUUGGGCCAUCUAGGGGCUACCGGAACAAGUGGUGGAGCGGUGAAAUGCGUAGAUAUCACUUGGAACGCCAAUGGUGAAAACAGGUAGCUGGGGAUGUGCCGACGCUGAGACACGAAAGCCAGGGGAGCGAACGGGAUUAGAUACCCUAGUAGUC
rnacentral:rRNA from 1 species